UCUUUUUUUCUCGAGAAAAGUAGAUUUCAUUGAUCACAAAACUGUUACAUCAGGAGAAUCCACGAGCGGAUUACUCGAAAGCCAACAAGCCGUACGUUUGACCUGACCUAGCAAAUACUGCUAAAUCAUGACUAACACUAUUGUGUGAUCUAUGAAUUUUAGAAAUCUUAAUCUCCCUUCCCUGAUUCCCAAGUUCUUUGAUUUGUAUCUCUCCAAACCUAUCUGCUCGCGUCGACGAAUAAGCCCUAUAUAUCUUCGUCCCAGUUUUCGGCUCCGUUCUCUAAUUCCCAGUUGCUUGCUGCUGAUUUGUAUCUCUUCAAACCUAUCUGCUCGCGUCGACGCCACCUCGGUCAAAGAGAGUCGCACGCAAGGUGUUCGGCGUCGGGCCUCGAUCCCGACAUCUAUGGCGUCCAUGUUGAUGGUUGCGAAUCCUUCCUUCCUUGCUUUCAAGGGGACGUGUUCCCGGGCUCCCGACUGCUCCAGGAUCCACGGAGAACUCAACAAGCCUUGUGUCGCCUCUGUUCGUCAUCCCCGAGUUGGAUUUGUCGGCGCCCAUAAGGUGUUCGAUUCCCGGCCCUGACUGCCACACCGAUCGCGUCCAGGGUGCCGCUGCGUCCCAGCUUGGCACGUUCCUCGCUUCUACAACUCCAGCAGAGGCCCUGAAGACUCACUUGCCUCUGCCGUUCGUUGUUCCCGAGCUUGUCACGGCGGCGCCUGCCAGAUGUUCAACGGAAUGCUCCGACGACUCCACCAACAGGGUGACCUCCAUAAGCUGCUGGGUGUAUCUACCAUGACCAUUACGCCGCCCAGCAACAUCUACACCAAGCCAGACAUGGUCGCCAAUGACACUACUAGCCUCACAUGGCGAAGUGUGCCACCUACUCGAUGCCAUGCCGCUGAGUGUGUGCUUCCCAGGUAUCGCGGGUUGUUCCCAUGCCCUCUGUACCCUCAUUAUGACGCGUACCAUCAUGGCCUGUCAUCCCCAAGCUUGUCAAGCUGAUGUCCGCCAGGAGAUACAAGGUAUUCGGCGAUGUGCUUGCCAGAAGUACAUCUGUGCUGCAGCCCUCGCAUGUAAAGAUGCUCAAACAACAACCAAGCCUGCCAGCUGCGCAACUGCAGAUGGCAGACAAAGGAGAUUUUCCCCGGCCAACACCACGGCCAUCAUUUGGUUACUGUCAGGGCAACCGACAAUUGAGGGAGCCAUGGCCGCCACCUUUUAUCCUCCUAACUAUUGUUCUGACACCUCAAGGAACACCAACACCAUGCUCACCACGGUCCACGUCGAGGAAGAGAUGUUAUGCAUGUUCUAGAGCAUUGGGUGUUUAUCAGAACCAGGGGUACAGUCUGGGAAGCAACUAUGUGCAACAGGCCGUACCAGAAGCUUGGUGGUAUUGAGUAUUGACCUCAAAUCUUAGAGUAGAGCAGGCCAAUGUUAUAAUUUCCAUCUGGCCUUGUUGGAUGGCAAUAUCCGAAGUGAUUUGUAGUUUACAUCUGAUCCUGCCAUGGCCUCCUCAUCAAGCAAGAGCUCCGACACUUUCUAGUGCAUUGACACAAUGUGCACAAUGAGUACCUGUUGGUCUGGGAGAUGUCAAGGAAAUCGGUGGUGCCAUGGUGUGUUCAUACAGCCCAUACUUGGCAGCUAAGAAGCACUAAGAACAUGACGGCUAAGCAUAAAGGGCAUAUUGGAGAGAAGGCUGUGCUAUCACUGGACCAUGGGCAUAUCAAAGAUGGGUUUGUGAUGAUUCCUGGAGUUAUGCUGCCACUACAGGAUAUGUGAUGACUGAGGGCAUCAGAGAAUUGUCAGUAUGCUGGGAUCUUGGUGACAUCUUUGGAUCGGCUUGGGGCAAGCCGAUUUUUAAAGAAGGGGAAAUGCCACGACUACGACUGCAACCGACGAUGUUUACAAUUACAGGGCAUGCUUUGAGAUGAGCUACUCCAUGAACCUGGAGCAACAAUGGGCGGCGGCCCAAGUGAGUGUUGUUGCACCGGCUACAUAAGGAAGAUGGAAGGCACUCGAUGGGAAUCAAAACAAAAUUUUGCAAGGCAAAUGCCCUUUUCCUAUGACUAUUAUUCUCAUCACCAACCUCUUGCUUGUUGAUAUCUCGUUUAUCCCAUAUAUAAGUAAAUCUUCAAAUUUACUAGAGCAAAAAAUUGAACUAGCAAGUCAUUUAAACGGGACAAACGAGAUUCUGUUUGUGUCACUACACAUGGCAAACUACUCUAAUAAAAUUUUAUUUUAUUUUAUUUUAUUUUGUUUAAGGGAUUACUUAAGCUUUCCAUUUAAAAUUAUUUUCACUCACUUUUAGAGCACUCACUUCGACUAGCUUAACUUAAUACCAUUUCUAGUACGAACUGUCAUAUUCAAGAAAUGCUGCCCACCUGCCCUGCCCCCAUUAUUCUAAUCCUGGGUGAACCAUAUACAGUACUAUUAAGAACACAUUUUAUAGUAAUUAUUUGAUUCACACAGAGGAUUUGCAAAUGGCAUUGUGCUUUUACAAAGAGGAAUAUCAAAGCAGAGUUUAGCCCCCUUUUCUCCAGAAAGUGCACAAGCUUUGUGUCUCAUUUCAUUGAUAGAUUGAGUUCUCUACAAGCCUAAGAAUAGGGCAUUGCAACCAAACACUCAUUUGUAUAGGGUUGAUCCUGAAUGGCACUGGCAGGGUAAUUCUCCUUUGGCAGGGACAGUGAUAGCAUAGUCCAUUGUGCAGGGCCUGCUACAUUAGCAUCCAUGCCAGAGGAGAACUGCACUGCGAUUCUCACCCUCAACACUCCAUAGCCUUUAUGGAUCUUUUGUUCUUGGUGUGGGAGGAAGACAGUUGGUAUGUUUUUAACUGCUCUUUCAUGCGAAAUCUGUUUCUUGCUAUGCACUGUAUGUUACUGUGGCAAAUAUAUAAAGGGCAGAGAUGGGCAAGAAAAAUAUGGAUAUUCUACUGGAUAUGCUUUCAGAUCAGGAGAAUGCUUUCAAGAGGUAUUCAUCUAGCUCUAGCUUUGCCUUUUCCUCAUCUCUCUUUUAGUUGAAAGCUUGAACAACAGAAAGACAAUGAUUCUUGCUCUUGCUACCUCAUUUGGUUUAUUAUUAUAUUUAUUUAUGCCAUUGUUUCAAGUAAAAAAACAGUUAAAUCCAAAUUACCUAUCACAACCAACAGAAAAAUUGCACUUCGACCUGAUGAAGCAUUUGGGGAAGGGGUCACCGAGAAAUCUGGAAGUAACUAUAGUUUGCUUUGUCAUGUAGUUUUGACAUAUAAUUUACAUGUGGAUCAGCAGAAUCACUCAAAACAUGCAUCCAGUGGCGGGGACACAGGGGAGGAGGGGGUGGCAACCCCCCUCCCCCCCCCCCCCCCCCAAUGAGUAUGGAGGUUACUUGAUCUUACACGAUAUGGCUAUUAUAGUUGGUAAUUAUGACACGAGACCAACCGGUUUAUUUCUGGAAAAUGAAACUGGUCUCCAGUAUGAUUAUCGGAACUUCUAUGUGUCAAAGUCAUUCUAUGACCCAGAAAAGCACGGCCGUGUCUUUUGGGAUGGUCAAAUGAGUCUAACACUGCCCGCGAUGACUGUGUUGUGGACAUCGCUGAACUACAAGACAACAUGGUUGCGGGGAGGUUAAGUAUAUGCUCAAGAUGAGCCUCGAUCUGAAACGAUAUAAUUAGUAUACAAUUGGGAAUUAUGAUCAUGAGACCGGCCAGUACAUUCAUGGACAAUGAAUUUGGCCUCCCGGUAUGAUUAUGAGAUCUUUCUAUGUGUCAUAGAAUGACCCAGAAAAGCAUUGCCUUAUCCUCGGACAAAUGAGUUUGACACACUGCCCGUGAUAAUUGGCUAAAAAAAUCGUUUUGGGGAGAGGGGAGGGGGUUCCCCCCCCCCCCCCCCCACCAUGUCUGUACCACUUGAUGCAUGUAGCAACCAAAGCUAUGAGCAUAUCCAUUAUAGAUGUUCACACAAUAUCAUGAUUUGAGUGCUUUUUUGUUGAUCCACAUGUAAACGUAAUGUACUUGCAAUCUUAACAUAAAUGUACCCGAUCGCUUGGUUCAUUCGGUUGAGAAUGCUAUACAAAUACAAGCCUUCGCUCGGCCUGCUCCGAGUGUAGAACCCAACUGCCUAGUUAGUUUACAUGAGUCAUGACGAGACAUAAACAGUCGAGUCAAAACUCUUUGCCAGUCCGUCUAAAAAGUACUCUUUUCCGAUAUAAAAAUACUCUUUGCCACUUGCCUAAAUUUUUUCUUUGCCACUGUACUGGUCUCUCUCUGCCCUCUCAUUCCAAUGUUCAGGCCAUGUUGAGUAGGUAAAUCGGACCUUGUUGAUUUUUCUAAGCAUUAUCACCUCUAGUGCUUAGUUAUUUUAAAAUGAAAAUUUUGAAGUUCAAAACCUUGAUAUAAUGGGGGGAAGAGGGCUCUCGCGAUAGGUUAGGCGAUUAUUUAUUUAUGCCACUGUUGCAAGUUAAAGAGUUUGAUUACUGCAACUGUUCUGCACCUAUAUAUAGAUGAGAUGAUGCAGUUUACAUUAGAUAGAGACACAACCUACAUCAGGAUAUUGGAAUUUAAUCCUAUAUCUGGGUACUUUAUACAAACUGGAUUACUGAUGAUUCUAGUUCUUGACAUUUAAGCUAUUUUUAUUUUAACUUAUAGGUCAUUUCUGGUAAACUAGUAAAACUGACUACUGGAGCUACCUGAAGUUCGGUUGAAGUUGAUGUGUUGCUUGCUAUUGACUAAAACAUACUGGGUAAUCUGUAUAGUGCUUGAGCUUGAAAAGAGUGGCUAUAACAGCAACCAGAAAGGAUUUUAUGGAACAGCAAAUUAAAGGGGCAUAAUUUAUUUACCUUGGGUCAACAGUAUGCAAUUCCAAUAACUGGCAGAAGCCGUAGAACGGUGAAAGCUUAGUGAUGACUUAUAUGGGAUACAGAUGAAAGCUUUUUCUUGGAUUGUCAAGAGCUUGUGCUAGGCUUAGCCGCUCUAUGUCUAUUCCUAGUGCAUUGGAAAAUAUGGUAAGAAAGAUAAGUGCAACAAAAAGAUAUUUGUGUAUGUGUGUCAAAUGGACGUGUGAUUUCCCUGUUCACAAGUUACCAGCCGGUGAGUUGUCAGUUCCACUGGUUACUGGUAGAACAUCCAAAAUUUUGGCUUAUGACAUUUUACCGAUUUAAAACUGGUAACAUCCUGUAACCAGUACUUGGUAGGGUCUGUUGUUUUCUCCGUUUCCGGUUUUGGAUCCUCAUUGGAAACGCUUGUUUAAUUGUUUUAGCAUAAACCGGUGCCAGCACUGUCAUUCUGUUUGCAAUUUGAUGUUUGUAAAAUAUGACCUUGCAGUAGCUCGAAAUGCUAAAAGGCUAGACAUUUUAUUUUAUAAGUUCAUGCAGCAUCUAACCCAAUCCCGUGAUCCAAAGAUCCACUACCAUAUUUUAUUUUUUGAGGGAUAUUUUUAGGCAAAAUUUGUUUGUUCUUUUGUCAUGUGAUUGAAGCCCUUCUAUAUUAUUCUUCGUUGUGGUCUUGUGGAACAUCCCCGCGGAUCUUCUUGUUUGGUGCCGGUGCAAGCUGCCUGAUCUGAUGAAGAAUUUAGUAAGCAUCUGAUUCUCAUGCAGUGCACUGAGCUUUACAGAAAGCAUGCACUAGCUCCUGCUGCCGCCGUCGAAAGACCGCGUAACAAUUUAUCAUAUCUGAUCUUUCAUUUUUUUUCCAUUAAAGAUAUGUGAUCUUACAUUGACGUGAUCGAUCACAUGCUAUUCCCAGAACUUUAUCUUUCAUUCGUUUAAUAAUAUGCUGCAUGUUGCCAUUGGUCAUUUUUAUUGGGUUUUUUUUCAGGUUUUGACCAGAAUUUACAAUUGAAUUCUCAUUGUACGUACCACAUUUUUGUUACACAAAACAUCAGAGAGAACACUGGGAAAAUGGCGCAUCAGAUAUAUUGCACUAAAUGUAGUCUUGCUGAAGAUCUUUUUCGCAGUAACACAAGGAAAAGAGGAAACAGUCCAUACUUGAAACCAAUACUUUGCAGCUUAAGACCCAAGUGAGACGAUGGAAAAGGGAAAGUGCGCAGAGUACCAGGUGCCAGGGGCUACAAAUUGCAGAGAGAUACUACGGUAGUUUCAAUGUUUCACGCAAGUUUCCCCGCAAAAAAAAAUGUUUCACGCAAAUUACUCUAUCUGUUAAAGAAUAUAUGCUGCUUUGGCCAAGACAUGAUAUUCGUUACUAUAAUCAAACUAGCUUUGCGCAUAUUGGAAUAUUAGCUGCCAGAGUUAAACAAGUUUGUGUCAGGUUUGAGAUUGUGGACCAUGAAUGCUGCAUUGUAAGGUUGAGCAAUUUUGACCACCAAAUUCUAGAGAGUCAUCAGUCAUGUAUAUGUAAACGGAGGGAGUACAUUUUUGUGCCUAUUUUGAAAGCAUACUUGAAACGUGCGGAAGAUGCCAUGGGUACCCGGAAAAUAUGCUUGGUGCCUGGAUCAAACUCGACCAGCAAAUGCAGCACGGCACUACAUUUUUCAAGUCAAGUCAAGCCAGAAUGAAUAGAAGCCAGCAUUGUAGCAUUUGAAACGAGGAUUGAAAAGAACGCUCGGUGGACAUCUAAAAGUGGAUACGCUUGAACUUGGCGCUCCUCGAUGACCAACUUUUUUGCAUUGGGGAAUUGGGUUACUUUUGCAAAGCUGAUUGAUCCAUCGUCCAUUUGCUGCCAGCUUUGGCUGAGUCGCGCAAAGGAAGCUACAGAAACAGAAUAGCAGGGCCAGGAGGUCCGGUCAAUUAGGCAUGACAAGACAUUCUGUAAUCAGAUGACCCAAGGUACUGCAAUUUGUUAGGACUAGCUAGACGAUUCAUUAUGGAUCAUGAUUUUUGAAUUGAUUAUGACGAUGGCAAUGAAUAAUGAUGACAGCAGCACAACUAUAUUUCAUUCAGCAGCGAUGUAUGUCGGGCAGUUAGCAAUUGUUCAGAAGGAUUGGGUGUGUACAGAUUUCGUUGAAGAGAACAAGGGGAGCUGUUGCAGCAGGACCAAUAACCAGUUUCAUUUUUUAGACUAAGGCAUGUCUAAUUCUAACUA